CCAGACUCCUACGGGAGGCAGCAGUGGGGAAUAUUGCGCAAUGGGCGAAAGCCUGACGCAGCGACGCCGCGUGAGGGAUGAAGGUCUUCGGAUCGUAAACCUCUGUCAGCAGGGAAGAACGGUCACUGUGCUAAUCAGCAGUGAAUUGACGGGACCUGCAAAAGAAGCCCCGGCUAACUACGUGCCAGCAGCCGCGGUAAUACGUAGGGGGCAAGCGUUAUCCGGAUUUACUGGGUGUAAAGGGAGCGUAGACGGAAAGGCAAGUCAGAAGUGAAAGCCCAAGGCUCAACCAUGGGACUGCUUUUGAAACUGUCAAACUAGAGUACGGGAGAGGUAAGAGGAAUUCCUAGUGUAGCGGUGAAAUGCGUAGAUAUCAGGAGGAACACCGGCGGCGAAGGCGGUCUGCUGGACAGCAACUGACGCUGAGGCGCGAAAGCGUGGGGAGCAAACAGGAUUAGAUACCCCCGUAAA
rnacentral:rRNA from 1 species